GCGGUGAAACAUCAGACCGUCAUAUCAUCGGCACCGAGUGUAAAAUGGGGAAUAAUCUGAGAUGUUCACCUCCAAAUCUUACAAGAGGGGUACCUAAUAAAUUGUUUAUAUUACUGGAAAAUAAAGCAUGCCUUAGGAACAUCGAUAGUAUACAAAUGAUGCUGCAUUUCCAUGACAUAAGAGAUGAGUUGGAGUUUGUUCAGUUGGAGCAUGACUGGCAAGAUCCCCAGGUUCUCAUGCAUAUGACCCAUUUGGUGAAUACUGAUGAAGGUUUCCGUCUAUGUGAUGGAGAUGGAAGAAUCCUGAUAGAUCGCGUAAUAUCAGCUGCUCAACUGAAAUAUAAUUCAAUCCCCAUGGUAGUCUACAGGCAGGUUCCAUCGGUCGAUACCACGCAGCAAAAUAAUUCACUAUCAGUAUGGCAGGAGAUUCAAGAGAACAGAAACAAGAACGAUAUAAUGCAUGGUUAAUAAUAACAAUAAUGAAAAUAUUAAAGAUAAUCAUUCUACUAAUAACCACAUAACCAUACUAUAUAACAAUCACAGCACAGAAACAGGCCAUCUUGGCCCUUCUAGUCCAUGCCAAAUGCUUACUCUCACCUAGUCCCACCGACCUGCACUCAGCCCAUAACCCUCCAUUCCUUUCCUGUCCAUAUACCUAUCCAAUUUUACUUUAAAUGACAAUAUUGAAUCUGCCUCUACCACUUCUACUGAAAGCUCAUUCCACACAGCUACCACUCUCUGAGUAAAGAAGUUCCCCCUCGUGUUACCCCUAACUUUUGACCCCUACUCUUAAUGGAAAAAGCCUAUCCACAUCAACUAUAUCUAUCCCCCUCAUAAUUUUAAAUACCUCUACCAAGUCCCCCCUCAACCUUCUAUGCUCUAAAGAAUAAAGACCUAACUUGUUCAACCUUUCUCUGUAACUUAGGUGUUGAAACCCAGGUAACAUUCUAGUAAAUCUUCUUUGUACUCUCUCUAUUUUGUUGACCUCUUUCCUAUAAUUCGGUGACCAGAACUGUACACAAUACUCCAGAUUUGGCCUUACCAAUGCCUUGUACAAUUUGAACAUUACAUCCCAACUCCUAUAUUCAAUGCUCUGAUUUAUAAAGGCCAGCAUACCAAAAGCUUUCUUCACCACCCUAUCCACAUGAGAUUCCACCUUCAGGGAACUAUGCACCAUUAUUCCUAGAUCACUCUGUUCUACUGUAUUCCUCAAUGUCCUACCAUUUACCAUGUAUGUCCUAUUUUGACUAGUCCCACCAAAAUGUAGCACCUCACACUUAUCAGCUUUAAACUCCAUCUGCCAUCUUUCAGCCCACUCUUCUAAUUGGCCUAAAUCUCUCUGCAAGCUUUGAAAACCUACUUCAUUAUCCACAACACCACCUAUCUUAGUAUCAUCUGGAUACUUACUAAUCCAAUUUUUACCACCCCAUCAUCCUGAUCUUUAAUGUAUAUGACAAACAACAUUGGACCCACUACAGAUCCCUGAAGCGCACCACUAGUCACCGGCCUCCAACCUGACCAACAGUUAUCCACCACUAUCCUCUGGCAUCUCACAUCCAGCCACUGUUGAAUCCAUUUUACUACUUCAAUAUUAAUACCUAAUGACUGAACCUUCCAUGUGGAAUCUUGUCAAAGGCCUUACUGAAGUCCAUUUACACAACAUUCACUGCUUUACCCUCAUGUGGUGGUGAAAACACUGCAUUUGCAGAAUGUUCCUUGCUUGCUGCUAGGAGCCCCUGUUUGGAACAUUCGGUUUAGUAUGUGUGUCAAAGGUGAUUAAUGCUUUACUUCUGCAGAGCAACAUUCUUAUGAGAACUGUAACUUCUGCCUUAAUGGCUAAGAGUAGCCCAUUCCAGCUAAAACCGUAGGCUAAGACGUGACAUACAGUGUUAUUACUUUCUUGUACGUUAAACUGUUUCAUCUAUCUGUAUAAAGGUCAACUCGCAUACGCGUCUAGUCAGAGUCAGUCUCUCCACCAUGAGGGUUUGCUCUCCGUGACAUCAUGACAAUAAAGGUUCUUGCUGUGAACUAAGCCCAGAGAGUCACUGUCUUUUAUUUGAAGCAAAGUGUUAGAACUCUGCUACAACAGUUUUGGCGUAGUCGGCAGGAUCCCAUAAACGGGAUUCGGACAAAGCAAGCAGAGUAGAGUCUACGGGGGAGGUAGAAAAUACCCCCUGUCCUGGGUUCCAGCCCCAGGGGAGUCUGGGUGAGUAUGGCCGGGGGGGGGGCCGCACAAGAAGACACAGUAUUAAUUAGAAUUGACUUGGGCUCUGGUCAAGGCAGAACCUUAGGUAAGCACUCUGUUUGUCUGUCUGCCCCUGUCGGUCUAAAGUGUAUAGUUUUUUGUAUAAGAUUAAUUUGCAGUUACCAUGGGACAGAAGAACACCUCUGGUAGAGUGUCAGAGAAAAACGCUCCCAGUGAAUGGAAUAAGAGGGGACGUGGACCGAGACACCUGAUAAAGGUAGGAGGUAGAGAUCCAGGAAGAAGAGGGGGCUUGCCUAAUGAGCCCUAUCCAAAACCUGGAUCACCAGUGGACAUAGUUUAUCGUGAGACUCAAGUAGGCAGUUACGUGACCCCUUUUUAUCCCAAUCUAUACGGGUGGUACCUGAAUCAAUGUUUGGAUGAGGGAGAGUGGCCUACUCUCAAGCCACAUGUUAUUCAAGCAUAUUGGAAUGAUGUUAAAGUGGGAAAUGGUGACCCCGACCCCAUAUGGUUACCAUAUGUCCUGAGCUGUUUUCCUGUAUGGAAAAGAGUUGCAGAAAAAUAUUACCUGGACAUUGUGGAGAAAAAAUUGGGACCCCCGAUGUUAUCCAUGCCUUCCAAAGGACAUUCGGCCACCUCCGCCCCAGAUCUGACUAUGGGUGUAUUUCCUCGACUGGAGAAAUCGAGGACAUCCUACGGGGACCCCUGGCAAGAAUCUAUUGACUAUGCAUUAGCCCUUUGACAAAAUCCACCUCCAUAUGUCGAUGAUGUGACACAACAAGAAGGAGAAGUGAAAGUGGCUCAGGCAGACAGUUCAGAGGGAGCUGGGGGAUCGGGAAUGGUUCUCCGUUCUGGUCACAAAUUGUCCCUGGUAGAGCGAGUCCCCGGGUCCAAACUGCAGAGCAAUCAAUCCGAGGUUAGUUCCUCUACUGCCCGUCAAUUUCCCCGUAUAAUGGUUAGAACUGCCUCGAUUCUACGUCCGUGGACCCCAGGCGCUCUGCAAAGCCACUGGGAAGCUGCAUGACGAAGUAAGGGAGGGACAGAGCCCUCUCACAGAUGAGCCUAUGCACACCUUUCAAAUAGGGGACUUAGCAUUGUUAAAAGCAUUAAAAAGGAACUCUCUUUCCCCCAGGUGGAAAGGACCUUACCAAGUGCUGCUCGUUAACUGCACCGCCAUUAAACUACAAGGAAAAGGGGACUGGGUUCACGCCACCCACUGCAAGACUUACUCACCUCCCGACCAAUUGACAGGCACAGGAGACCAGCAUGUGGAACCUCCGCCAAAGACAAGCAAUGCAGCCCCGGAGUAUUUCGCUCAACUUUUAAAGGAUGCGUUCCCUUCUGUAGUCCCAGAUAGUCCUCCGUUACUUGAUCGUGCUCACAGAAUUAUGCACCGAUCACCAAGUUCUUCAUCUAAACCACCUGUUGUAAUUGUUCGAUUUCAUUAUGUGCAUGUUAAAAAGCACCUUAUUCAUUUGGCUCGGCGUUUAGGGGUGGUUAAAUUGAGAGAAUUCCAAUUUCGGCUUGUGGAGGAUUUCAGCCCAGAAGUGAUGAAGGCAUGGCUCGCUUUUAAACCUUUGAUGUCCGAAUAUUAUGAGAAAAACCUAAAACCAGCGCUUUUAUACCCUGUGAAACUUAGAAUCUCGCCUUCGAAUGCAUCACGACGCGUUUUUCUCUCCACAUCUGAUGCUCGAAGCUUUCUAGAUGAGAACUAUCCUACUGCUUCGGAUUCUCGUCUCUAAUAAAUGUAUGGUUUUGAUCGUUACAAGAUAGUUUUUGUUUCCAAAACCAGAUUUUGUUUCUGACUAUUGGUGUAGGUUUAUUUUACAUUUUAUAUUCCAAUUAAAGUUUUUCUUUAUCGACGUACUAAUCUUUUUAAUUUACUUACUUUAACUAUUGUAUUUUAUUUUUGGUCAUUACUAUUAAUCCUUUGAAGGUGAAUUUUUUUUAAUGUUUCGAUAUAUAUCUUUCAUUUUUUGUGUAACUAAGAUGGCGGUCUCUUUUCUAAAUUUUCUUUUUUAAAUUUCGCCUUUUUUGUCGUCUUCUUCCUAUAAUGCCUUUCUUAUCACAUCCUAAUUUUAUUUGUUCGGGUUUUAACCCGAUUUAUAAACUACCAGUGUUUAUAUUCUUUUUGGGUUUUUUUACUAGCAAUUAUAUUAAGAAGUCUGUUUUAGUAUAGUGUUAAUUACUUUUUAGGAUUUUGGGUGGAUCUUUUUUUUUCUCCUUUAUGUAUCUGGAGUCGCCUUCUGGAGACAUGGGGGUAGAUUUAGUCUCACAGUUUUUUUUCCUGGCCUCCUUCAGGCUCAGGAGGGUCUCUUUUCCGUGGGUGGUGGGCGGGGGUUUCCUUUCUAAUUCUAUUGCUCUUUUUAUUAGUUUUUCUAGUUUUUUAAAUUGGGCUGAUUUCAAACUACUAAAAUGUCCGCUGUAUCGUCAUUUCUAGGUCCUCCCCUUAUUUUUGUUCCUCUUCCGGGUGCAUGAGUUCAUACUUUGGUUAACUCUUUAUAUACCAGAGGGUUGAUUUUAGAAAUAUGGCUCAGACCAUUAAUUUUGUCUCUUGGAAUACUAAUAGCUUAAACCAUCCGAUUAAACGGAAAAAGAUUUUAAGUAUUCCAAAGACUGAAUGCGCAUAUUAUUUUUGUACAAGAAACUCAUGUGAGGAAAGAGGAUAAUCAACGUUUUUUUAGGUUUUGGAGAGAUCAACAGUACCAUUUGAAUUCAAAUGCUAAAGUAAAAGGAGUUUCAAUUUUUAUUGACUCCUCUAUUACAUUUGUUCAACACGAUAUUAUUUCAGAUCCGAGUGGUAGAUUUUUGUUAAUUACUGGGUUACUUUUUAAUAAGAAGGUUGCUAUGGUUAAUGUUUAUACUCCAAAUGUAGAUUAUCCUGAUUUCUUUAAGUCUUUAUUUACUUCUCUACCUAAUCUAAGUGAAUAUAUUGUGGCGACCCAUUUCCUGGCACAUUCAAACUGGCUCACAAUUAGCCAGCGUUCCGGCUAAGGGAGAUAGCCUACGGGGGUUUGUGAGUACGUGUCUUUUGGAGCAUCUGCGCCCACGGGGGGCAGGUUGAGGGAGGCUUAAAAGCAAGGCUGUGUAGUUCGAAUAAAGUUAUCUUUGACUGCAGUUUACCGACUCCGUGUCGUUAUUUUAGCGCUGCGUGUAGCACACC